CCGAGACACACAGGGAACGAGAAGACGUGGCCUCCACAGCCCCGGGAGCCUCGGCAGAGAUGUGUGUCCACGCCUCUCAUUUCCAACGUCCUCAGCAGUCUGGCUCCCACCCUUUGCCCAUGGAUUCUGCUCUGGACCUUGAACCCACAGUUCCAGGAGUCCCUGAAAUCCUCAGAGCAGCACUUCCAAAGCUGCAGGGAAGCCGACACAGCCUGACAGCUUGUCCAGGCCCACCAGUGACUCCCAGGACAGGAACAAGAAAGAGGCAUCUGCUCAGGUAGAAAAGAGCUUACGGGGGCUUCCUCAUCACCCCUCCACACACUGAAAAGGCUCUGACAGCAGUAACAGGUCACAGGGAUGCCCAAAAGGACUGUGCAAGAGGGCAGUGAGCCCGAGGAUCCUGGGUCCAUCUGGAACUCGGCCAUCCAGAGAGCAAGUGUGCUCAGUCC